rnacentral:rRNA from 1 species
GACGAACGCUGGCGGCGUGCCUAAUACGUGCAAGUCGAGCGAAUCAAUAGGAGCUUGCUCCUGUUGGUUAGCGGCGGACGGGUGAGUAACACGUGGGCAACCUGCCUGUAAGACUGGGAUAACUUCGGGAAACCGGAGCUAAUACCGGAUAAUCCUUUUCCACUCAUGUGGGAAAGCUGAAAGUCGGUUUCGGCUGACACUUACAGAUGGGCCCGCGGCGCAUUAGCUAGUUGGUGAGGUAACGGCUCACCAAGGCGACGAUGCGUAGUCGACCUGGUAGGGUGAUCGGCCACGCGGGGACUGGGACACGGCCCAGACUCCUCCGGGAGGCAGCAGUAGGGACUCGUCCGCAAUGGACGAAAGUCUGACGGAGCAACGCCGCGUGAGCGAUGAAGGCCUUCGGGUCGUAAGGCUCUGUUGUUAGGGAAGAAUAAGUAUCGGAGUAACUGCCGGUACCUUGACGGUACCUAACCAGAAAGCCACGGCUAACUACGUGCCAGCCGCCGCAGUAA